ACGAAGGGUGCAAGCGUUACUCGGAAUUACUGGGCGUAAAGCGUGCGUAGGUGGUUUGUUAAGUCAGAUGUGAAAGCCCCGGGCUCAACCUGGGAAUUGCAUUUGAUACUGGCUAACUAGAGUGAGGUAGAGGAGAGUGGAAUUCCCGGUGUAGCAGUGAAAUGCGUAGAGAUCGGGAGGAACAUCAGUUGCGAAGGCGGCUCUCUGGACCAUCACUGACACUGAGGCACGAAAGCGUGGGGAGCAAACAGGAUUAGAUACCCUGGUAGUCCACGCCCUAAACGAUGCGAACUGGACGUUGGGAUCAAUUGAGAUUUCAGUGUCGAAGCUAACGCGUUAAGUUCGCCGCCUGGGGAGUACGGUCGCAAGACUGAAACUCAAAGGAAUUGACGGGGGCCCGCACAAGCGGUGGAGUAUGUGGUUUAAUUCGAUGCAACGCGAAGAACCUUACCUGGCCUUGACAUGUCGAGAAGUCUGCAGAGAUGCGGAUGUGCCUUCGGGAA
rnacentral:rRNA from 1 species